rnacentral:rRNA from 1 species
CCUACGGGAGGCUGCAGUGAGGAAUAUUGGUCAAUGGACGCAAGUCUGAACCAGCCAAGUCGCGUGAGUGAUGACGGUCCUAUGGAUUGUAAACCUCUUUUGUCAGGGAGCAAAGGGCGCCACGUUUGGCGCUUUGCGCGUACCUUAAGAACAAGCAUCGGCUAACUCCGUUCCAGCAGCCGCGGUAAUACGGAGGAUGCGCGCGUUAUCCUGAUUUCUUGGGUUUAAAGGGGGCGCAGGCGGAAUGUCAAGUCAGCGGUAAAAUUUCGGGGCUCAACCCCGUCGUGCCGUUGAAACUGGCGGUGUUGAGUGAGCGAGAAGUAGGCGGAAUGCGUGGUGUAGCGGUGAAAUGCAUAGAUAUCACGCAGAACUCCGAUUGCGAAGGCAGCAUACCGGAGCUCAACUGACGCUCAUGCACGAAAGCGUGGGUAUCGAACAGGAUUAGAUACCCCUGUAGUC